rnacentral:rRNA from 1 species
UACGGGGGGGGGCAAGCGUUGUUCGGAAUUACUGGGCGUAAAGGGCUCGUAGGCGGCCAACUAAGUCGGAUGUGAAAUCCCCAGGCUCAACUUGGGAACUGCAUCCGAUACUGGAUGGCUAGAGUUCGGUAGGGGAGACUGGAAUUCCUGGUGUAGCGGUGAAAUGCGCAGAUAUCAGGAGGAACACCGAUGGCGAAGGCAGGUCUCUGGGCCGAUACUGACGCUGGAGGAGCGAAAGCGUCGGGGAGCGAACAGG